GACGAACGCCAGCUACAGGCUUAACACAUGCAAAUCGAGGGGAAACGAUAGGGAAAGCUUGCUUUUUCUAGGCGUCGACCGGCGCACGGGUGAGUAACGCGUAUCCAACCUGCCCAUCACUUGGGGAUAACCUUGCGAAAGUAAGACUAAUACCCAAUGACGUCUCUAGAAGACAUCUGAAGGAGAUUAAAGAUUUAUCGGUGAUGGAUGGGGAUGCGUCUGAUUAGCUUGUUGGCGGGGUAACGGCCCACCAAGGCGACGAUCAGUAGGGGUUCUGAGAGGAAGGUCCCCCACAUUGGAACUGAGACACGGUCCAAACUCCUACGGGAGGCAGCAGUGAGGAAUAUUGGUCAAUGGACGAGAGUCUGAACCAGCCAAGUAGCGUGCAGGAAGACGGCCCUAUGGGUUGUAAACUGCUUUUAUAAGGGAAUAAAGUGAGUCUCGUGAGACUUUUUGCAUGUACCUUAUGAAUAAGGACCGGCUAAUUCCGUGCCAGCCGCCGCGGUAA
rnacentral:rRNA from 1 species